AGACUAUCUAGAAAGGGGCAUGUCGGUUAGAUGAAUACAUCCCACUAUUUCAAUUAUAGAAUCAGGACUGUCAGAUUAGUCAAUUCAUCUCCAUAGUACAGAUUCAAGAGUGUCUGAUAUAGUCAAUCCUUAUUAUUAUAAAUAGACUUUGAGCUCAGCCAUUAGAUAGGAUUGAUCUCAACUAUGGUCAAUUAGUAUCAACAUAAUCAAAUUUAG
rnacentral:lncRNA from 1 species